rnacentral:tRNA from 1 species
ACGGGCUUAGUUUAGUGGUAAAACAUCGGUCUCCAAAACCGACAACGGGGGUUCGAUUCCCUCAGCCCGUG